ensembl:lncRNA
UUAGAAUUUGAAACAAAUGUGUACUGGUCUUAAAAUUUGAAACAAAUGCAUACCAUAAGUUAUUAUCUUUGUUUCUUGAACUUUGAAAUCUUGCUGAUAUGAGUAGAGGAUGAAGGUCCAUUGCCUCCAAGCUGCUAAAACCAUGAAGAACUGAUGCUGUCCUAAGAAUUCCUGUCUGUUAUUAGGCACAUGGAUCCUGAAUGAUACUGCUGCUGCUGCUGCUACGUCACUUCAGUCAUGUCCAACUCUGUGCGACCCCAUAGAUGGCAGCCCACCAGGCUCCCCCGUCCCUGGGAUUCUCCAGAGUAUUUUGGACCUUUGAAGAAUGUUAGGAGCCGCUUGUCAUCUAGUUCCUGUCUGUCUCCAG